rnacentral:lncRNA from 10 species
GGAGUUGAUGAAUUGUGCAUGUUAAUGGUGAAAGAAUUCCCCCACCAGUUUAGCUAAUAGUUCAUUUCAACACCAAUUAUUUAUGGAGUUGCUUGAGCUUCUGGCAUAUUAUAUUCCUCUUCUGAUCAGCAAGGAGGAGAGAGAAAAUGGCUACUUUAGAUCAAGUAGACUGGUAAGUUUUAAAAUGAGACUUAAAUGUGAGAAGGAGUUAGCAUAUAGAGAACAAGAGAGAAAGAGUAUUCCAGGUACAGUGAACAACAGUUACAAAGGCCCAGAGUUAAGAGAGUGAUGAAGAAUUAAAAGAAGUAACAAAAGGUCUGUGUCUCUGUGACUGAGUAUGAGCAAGGAGGAGAGUGGUACAAGAUGAGGGAGGAGAAGCAGGCAGGGGCCAGACUAGGCCAGACCUCACAGACUGUGAUGA